GACGAACGCUGGCGGCGUGCUUAACACAUGCAAGUCGAACGGAAAGGCCCUGCUUUUGUGGGGUUCUCGAGUGGCGAACGGGUGCGUAACACGUGAGUAACCUGCCCUUCACUUUGGGAUAACUUCAGGAAACUGGGGCUAAUACCGGAUAGGAUAUCCUGCUGCAUGGUGGGGGUUGGAAAGUUUAGGCGGUUGGGGCUGGACGCGCGGCUUAUCGGCUAGUUGGUGGGGUAGUUGAUUACCCAGGCUGUGGCGGGUCCCCGGCCUGGGAGGGUGGACGGGCACAAGGGGACUACGAUAGGGAGCAGACGGCAACGUGAGGCAACAGUGGGAAAUAUUGCACAAUGGGCGGACGCGUGUGACAGAGACGUCGGGGUCGGGAUGCCGGCCUUCUGGUUGAGAACAGCUGUCGAUUGAGACGAAGCGUGAGUGACGGUACUGAGUAAAGAAGCACCGGCUAACUACGUG
rnacentral:rRNA from 1 species